rnacentral:rRNA from 1 species
AUUGAACGCUGGCGGAAUGCUUUACACAUGCAAGUCGAGCGGCAGCGCGGGGCAACCUGGCGGCGAGCGGCGAACGGGUGAGUAACACAUCGGAACGUGCCCAGACGUGGGGGAUAGCCCGGCGAAAGCCGGAUUAAUACCGCAUACGAUCUGAGGAUGAAAGCGGGGGAUCGCAAGACCUCGCGCGUUUGGAGCGGCCGAUGGCAGAUUAGGUAGUUGGUGGGGUAAAGGCUUACCAAGCCUGCGAUCUGUAGCUGGUCUGAGAGGACGACCAGCCACACUGGAACUGAGACACGGUCCAGACUCCUACGGGAGGCAGCAGUGGGGAAUUUUGGACAAUGGGCGCAAGCCUGAUCCAGCCAUUCCGCGUGAGUGAAGAAGGCC